rnacentral:rRNA from 1 species
CCUACGGGAGGCAGCAGUGAGGAAUAUUGGUCAAUGGGCGGAAGCCUGAACCAGCCAAGUAGCGUGCAGGAUGACGGCCCUACGGGUUGUAAACUGCUUUUAUACGGGAAUAACGCGCCUUACGUGUAGGGUUUUGCAUGUACCGUAUGAAUAAGGACCGGCUAAUUCCGUGCCAGCAGCCGCGGUAAUACGGAAGGUCCGGGCGUUAUCCGGAUUUAUUGGGUUUAACGGGAGCGUAGGCCGCAUGUCAAGCUUGCUGUGAAAUGGCCGGGCUCAACCCGGGCCUUGCAGCGCGAACUGGCGUGCUUGAGUCCGCGGAAAGCAGGCGGAAUUCGUGGUGUAGCGGUGAAAUGCUUAGAUAUGACGAAGAACCCCGAUUGCGAAGGCAGCUUGCUGCAGCGGAACUGACGCUGAUGCUCGAAAGCGCGGGGAUCGAACAGGAUUAGAUACCCCUGUAGUC